GAUGAACGCUGGCGGCGUGCCUAAUACAUGCAAGUCGAGCGAACAGACGAGGAGCUUGCUCCUCUGACGUUAGCGGCGGACGGGUGAGUAACACGUGGAUAACCUACCUAUAAGACUGGGAUAACUUCGGGAAACCGGAGCUAAUACCGGAUAAUAUAUUGAACCGCAUGGUUCAAUAGUUAAAGACGGUUUUGCUGUCACUUAUAGAUGGAUCCGCGCCGCAUUAGCUAGUUGGUAAGGUAACGGCUUACCAAGGCAACGAUGCGUAGCCGACCUGAGAGGGUGAUCGGCCACACUGGAACUGAGACACGGUCCAGACUCCUACGGGAGGCAGCAGUAGGGAAUCUUCCGCAAUGGGCGAAAGCCUGACGGAGCAACGCCGCGUGAGUGAUGAAGGUCUUCGGAUCGUAAAACUCUGUUAUUAGGGAAGAACAAAUGUGUAAGUAACUAUGCACGUCUUGACGGUACCUAAACAGAAAGCCACGGCUAACUACGUG
rnacentral:rRNA from 1 species